rnacentral:rRNA from 1 species
CCUACGGGUGGCAGCAGUGGGGAAUAUUGGACAAUGGGGGCAACCCUGAUCCAGCGAUGCCGCGUGUGUGAAGAAGGCCCUCGGGUUGUAAAGCACUUUCAGUGAGGAAGAACGCCUGGUGGUUAAUACCCAUCAGGAAAGACAUCACUCACAGAAGAAGCACCGGCUAACUCCGUGCCAGCAGCCGCGGUAAUACGGAGGGUGCGAGCGUUAAUCGGAAUUACUGGGCGUAAAGCGCGCGUAGGUGGCUUGAUAAGCCGGUUGUGAAAGCCCCGGGCUCAACCUGGGAACGGCAUCCGGAACUGUCAAGCUAGAGUGCAGGAGAGGAAGGUAGAAUUCCCGGUGUAGCGGUGAAAUGCGUAGAGAUCGGGAGGAAUACCAGUGGCGAAGGCGGCCUUCUGGACUGACACUGACACUGAGGUGCGAAAGCGUGGGUAGCAAACAGGAUUAGAUACCCUAGUAGUC